CCACGGUGCUGAAGCAACAAAUGCCCUGCUUCCAGGAAAAGCCUCUAAGCAUCAGGUAACAUCAAAUCGUACCCCAAACCGACACAGGUGGUCAGGUAGAGAAUACCAAGGCGCUUGAGAGAACUCGGGUGAAGGAACUAGGCAAAAUGGUGCCGUAACUUCGGGAGAAGGCACGCUGACACGUAGGUGAAGUGAUUUACUCAUGGAGCUGAAGUCAGUCGAAGAUACCAGCUGGCUGCAACUGUUUAUUAAAAACACAGCACUGUGCAAACACGAAAGUGGACGUAUACGGUGUGACGCCUGCCCGGUGCCGGAAGGUUAAUUGAUGGGGUCAGCGCAAGCGAAGCUCCUGAUCGAAGCCCCGGUAAACGGCGGCCGUAACUAUAACGGUCCUAAGGUAGCGAAAUUCCUUGUCGGGUAAGUUCCGACCUGCACGAAUGGCGUAAUGAUGGCCAGGCUGUCUCCACCCGAGACUCAGUGAAAUUGAACUCGCUGUGAAGAUGCAGUGUACCCGCGGCAAGACGGAAAGACCCCGUGAACCUUUACUAUAGCUUGACACUGAACAUUGAGCCUUGAUGUGUAGGAUAGGUGGGAGGCUUUGAAGCGUGGACGCCAGUCUGCGUGGAGCCGACCUUGAAAUACCACCCUUUAAUGUUUGAUGUUCUAACGUGGACCCGUAAUCCGGGUUGCGGACAGUGUCUGGUGGGUAGUUUGACUGGGGCGGUCUCCUCCUAAAGAGUAACGGAGGAGCACGAAGGUUGGCUAAUCCUGGUCGGACAUCAGGAGGUUAGUGCAAUGGCAUAAGCCAGCUUGACUGCGAGCGUGACGGCGCGAGCAGGUGCGAAAGCAGGUCAUAGUGAUCCGGUGGUUCUGAAUGGAAGGGCCAUCGCUCAACGGAUAAAAGGUACUCCGGGGAUAACAGGCUGAUACCGCCCAAGAGUUCAUAUCGACGGCGGUGUUUGGCACCUCGAUGUCGGCUCAUCACAUCCUGGGGCUGAAGUAGGUCCCAAGGGUAUGGCUGUUCGCCAUUUAAAGUGGUACGCGAGCUGGGUUUAGAACGUCGUGAGACAGUUCGGUCCCUAUCUGCCGUGGGCGCUGGAAGACUGAGGGGGGCUGCUCCUAGUACGAGAGGACCGGAGUGGACGCAUCACUGGUGUUCGGGUUGUCAUGCCAAUGGCACUGCCCGGUAGCUAAAUGCGGAAAAGAUAAGUGCUGAAAGCAUCUAAGCACGAAACUUGCCCCGAG
rnacentral:rRNA from 1 species